rnacentral:misc_RNA from 1 species
GAUGAAGAACGCAGCGAAAUGCGAUACUUGGUGUGAAUUGCAGAAUCCCGUGAACCAUCGAGUCUUUGAACGCAAGUUGCGCCUCAAGCCAUUAGGUUGAGGGCACGUCUGCCUGGGCGUCACAUAUCGUUGCCUGAUGCCAGUUUCCUCGUGAUGGGUGACUGUGCAGGGCGAAUGAUGGCUUCCCGUGAGCAUUGUUGCCUCAUGGUUGGUUGAAAAUUGAGUCCUUGGUAGGGAGCGCCGUGAUAGAUGGUGGUUGAGUGACGAACGAGACCCAAUCAUGUGAGACCCCUACCGAAUUUGGCCUUCAUGACCCACAUGCGUCUUUGGAACGCUCAUGAAGAGACCUCAGGUCAGGCGGGGCUACCCGCUGAGUUUAAGCAUAUCAAUAAGCGGAGGA